rnacentral:rRNA from 1 species
GAUGAACGCUGGCGGCGCGCCUAACACAUGCAAGUCGAACGAUUAAAGCACCUUCGGGUGUGUAUAAAGUGGCGAACGGCUGAGUAACACGUGGGCAACCUGCCCCUUUCAUUGGGAUAGCCACGGGAAACCGGGGAUAAUACCGAAAACUUCGAGACUUCCGCAUGGAAGACUCGAGAAAGCUCCGGCGGAGAGGGAUGGGCCCGCGGCCUGUUAGCUUGUUGGUGGGGUAACGGCCUACCAAGGCAAUGAUGGGUAGCUGGGUUGAGAGACCGACCAGCCAGAUUGGGACUGAGACACGGCCCAGACUCCUACGGGAGGCAGCAUUGGGGAAUCUUGCACAAUGGGCGAAAGCCUGAUGCAGCGACGCCGCGUGCGGGAUGAAGGCCUUCGGGUUGUAAACCGCUUUCAGCAGGGACGAGGCGAAAGUGACGGUACCUGCAGAAGAAGCCCCGGCUAACUACGUG